rnacentral:rRNA from 1 species
UGGGGAAUUUUGGAGAAUGGGGGAAACCCUGAUCCAGCCAUCCCGCGUGUGCGAUGAAGGCCUUCGGGUUGUAAAGCACUUUUGGCAGGAAAGAAACGUCAUGGGUUAAUACCCCGUGAAACUGACGGUACCUGCAGAAUAAGCACCGGCUAACUACGUGCCAGCAGCCGCGGUAAUACGUAGGGUGCAAGCGUUAAUCGGAAUUACUGGGCGUAAAGCGUGCGCAGGCGGUUCGGAAAGAAAGAUGUGAAAUCCCAGAGCUCAACUUUGGAACUGCAUUUUUAACUACCGGGCUAGAGUGUGUCAGAGGGAGGUGGAAUUCCGCGUGUAGCAGUGAAAUGCGUAGAUAUGCGGAGGAACACCGAUGGCGAAGGCAGCCUCCUGGGAUAACACUGACGCUCAUGCACGAAAGCGUGGGGAGCAAACAGG